rnacentral:rRNA from 1 species
GAUGAACGCUGGCGGCGUGCCUAAUACAUGCAAGUCGAGCGAACGGACGAGAAGCUUGCUUUUCUGAUGUUAGCGGCGGACGGGUGAGUAACACGUGGAUAACCUACCUAUAAGACUGGGAUAACUUCGGGAAACCGGAGCUAAUACCGGAUAAUAUUUUGAACCGCAUGGUUCAAUAGUGAAAUACGGUCUUGCUGUCACUUAUAGAUGGAUCCGCGCUGCAUUAGCUAGUUGGUAAGGUAACGGCUUACCAAGGCAACGAUGCAUAGCCGACCUGAGAGGGUGAUCGGCCACACUGGAACUGAGACACGGUCCAGACUCCUACGGGAGGCAGCAGUAGCGAAUCUUCCGCAAUAGGCGAAAGCCUGACGGAGCAACGCCGCGUGAGUGAUGAAGGUCUUCGGAUCGUAAAACUCUGUUAUUAGGGAAGAACAUAUGUGUAAGUAACUGUGCACAUCUUGACGGUACCUAAUCAGAAAGCCACGGCUAACUACGUG